rnacentral:misc_RNA from 1 species
AAGAAGGCUAUAGAAGCUAGCGAUGAUGCUGCUGCAUCAGCCGUUCUAGCGAAAGGGGAGAAAAUCGAUAUCAGUAAGGACGUCUCUGAGGUAAAGAAAGGCGGUUGUUGUUCCAGCUAGACUACCAAUCUCUGAAGUUGCUGCAGCAGCCUGAAGGUCAUCUCGUUGCUCGACAUCUAUUUUACAUUUUGUUUUACAUAUAGUACACCGUGGCCGUGUGAAAUUUUUUUCCAUAGAGGUAGGGGGAUUCAUGGGGAUUGAUUUGAUGUAUCUUACUGUUUUGAUUACUUAUAUUUUAACUUCUGAUGCCAAAAAUAUGCUUAAGCUUUAUACUCAAUUGACUUCGGGGAAUUACAGUUUUAUACUCCUUUGACUUUGAGGGCUUUGUAUCCAAGUACAGAAUUG